UGGGGAAUUUUCCGCAAUGGGCGAAAGCCUGACGGAGCAAUGCCGCGUGGAGGUGGAAGGCCUACGGGUCGUCAACUUCUUUUUCUCGGAGAAGAAACAAUGACGGUAUCUGAGGAAUAAGCAUCGGCUAACUCUGCGCCAG
rnacentral:rRNA from 1 species